AUUGAACGCUGGCGGCAUGCUUUACACAUGCAAGUCGAACGGUAACAGGCCUUCGGGUGCUGACGAGUGGCGAACGGGUGAGUAAUGCAUCGGAACGUGCCCAAUCGUGGGGGAUAACGUAGCGAAAGUUACGCUAAUACCGCAUAAGCCCUGAGGGGGAAAUGGGGGACCGCAAGGCCUCACGCGAAUGGAGCGGCCGAUGUCAGAUUAGCUAGUUGGUGGGGUAAAGGCCCACCAAGGCGACGAUCUGUAGCGGGUCUGAGAGGAUGAUCCGCCACACUGGAACUGAGACACGGUCCAGACUCCUACGGGAGGCAGCAGUGGGGAAUUUUGGACAAUGGGGGGCAACCCUGAUCCAGCCGUGCCGCGUGAGUGAAGAAGGCCUCGG
rnacentral:rRNA from 1 species